GAUGAACGCUAGCGGCAGGCUUAAUACAUGCAAGUCGAGGGACAGCACAGGUAGCAAUACUGGGUGGUAACCGGCAAACGGGUGCGGAACACGUACACAACCUUCCUUUAAGUGGGGGAUAGCCCAGAGAAAUUUGGAUUAAUACCCCGUAAUAUAGUUGAAUGGCAUCAUUUGAUUAUUAUAGCUACGGCGCUUAAUGAUGGGUGUGCGGCUGAUUAGAUAGUUGGCGGGGUAACGGCCCACCAAGUCUACGAUCAGUAGCUGAUGUGGGAGCAUGAUCAGCCAAACGGGCACUGAGACACGGGCCCGACUCCUACGGGAGGCAGCAGUAAGGAAUAUUGGUCAAUGGACGCAAGUCUGAACCAGCCAUGCCGCGUGAGGGAUUAAGGUCCUCUGGAUUGUAAACUUCUUUUAUUUGGGACGAAAAAGGGCCUUUCUAGGUCAACUGACGGUACCAGAUGAAUAAGCACCGGCUAACUCCGUGCCAGCAGCCGCCGUAAAAC
rnacentral:rRNA from 1 species